rnacentral:lncRNA from 1 species
UUUUUAGGCGGGGGGGGGGGGGGUUUUUUUUCAUGGAGAACCCACGGUUCCCCCCACCCCUCACAGUCCCAUGUUAAAGAAGUUCUGUGUCAGUGGGUCUCACUGCCCACUCUGAAAAGAAGAUUUUGCAUUUCUGUUCCCACCUUCGAGGGUUUGGUAAUGUUUCGGUACAAGUUGGUUGUCAAAAUGGAUGGACAUGCUGCUGGUGCCUAUUGUGGAGAUCCCACAGUGCAAAAGAUAGCCCUGGGGAACAAAGAAUUACCUGAUUCAAGAUGUCUGAGUGCUGAGGUGGAGAAAGGCUGCCCGGGAUGAGGUCCUCAGCCUUGCUCCCCAUCCCUUCCCUUCUCUUUGUGGGACAGGAGCAGCUUAUUUGGUUUGCAAGGGGAAGGCAGAAGUGCUUGCUGCAGCCUGUCCUUUGCUUUUCUCUCUGGAAUCUGACAGCCUACAGAGAAGGUGGAUUCCCACCUGCUGUCAGCCAUGUGAUAAAGUUGGUGGAGCAGGCUGUGCUCCUACCACUGCAGAGGGCAGGGGUUUUGUUUGUUGUCUGUUUGGUGGUAAUGGGAAGGGGGGUGACUUCAAUUCAGAGGAGCCUUAGCAAGCCUAUUAGGACUUAUCUAAGCCAUGUCCUUCACUAUGGCUUUUAUCAGUAAUAAAG